CCGCCCAUAGCUCAGUCUGGUAGAGCAGCUGCCUUUUAAGCAGAUGGUCCCAGGUUCAAAUCCUGGUGGGCGGA
rnacentral:tRNA from 1 species